rnacentral:rRNA from 1 species
AUUGAACGCUGGCGGCGUGCCUUACACAUGCAAGUCGAGCGGUAACAGGUUAAGCUGGCUUGUGUCGUACUGGUGAGGGAUGUAUCGGUACGUGCCCAGUCGUGUGGGAUAACUGCUCGAAAGAGCUGCUAAUACCGCAUCCGACCUGAGGGAGAAUUUUGGGGAUCGCAAGUCCUCGCGCGAUUGGAGCCGUCGUGAGCGGUUUAGCUAGUUGGGGAGGUAAUGGCUCACCAAGUCGACGAACGGUAGCUGGUCUGAGAGGUUGAUCAGCCACACUGGAACUGAGACACGGCCCAGACUCCUACGGGAGGCAGCAGUGGGGAAUUUUGCACAAUGGGCGAAAGCCUGAUGCAGCAAUGCCGCGUGAGUGAAGAAGGCCUUCGGAUUGUAAAACGCUUUUGUCAGGGAAGAAAAGGUUCUGGAUAAUCUCUGGACAUCAUGACGGUACCUGAAGAAAAAGCAACGGCUAACUACGUG